rnacentral:rRNA from 1 species
UACGUAGGGGGCGAGCGUUGUCCGGAUUUAUUGGGCGUAAAGAGCGUGUAGGCGGCCAGGUAGGUCUGCUGUGAAAACUCGAGGCUCAACCUCGAGACGUCGGCGGAAACCAUCUGGCUAGAGUCCGGAAGAGGAGAGUGGAAUUCCUGGUGUAGCGGUGAAAUGCGCAGAUAUCAGGAAGAACACCCGUGGCGAAGGCGGCUCACUGGUCCGGUACUGACGCUGAGGUGCGAAAGCGUGGGGAGCAAACAGG